ACUUAUAUUCUGUAGCAAGGUUAACCGAAUAGGGGAGCCGAAGGGAAACCGAGUCUUAACUGGGCGUUAAGUUGCAGGGUAUAGACCCGAAACCCGGUGAUCUAGCCAUGGGCAGGUUGAAGGUUGGGUAACACUAACUGGAGGACCGAACCGACUAAUGUUGAAAAAUUAGCGGAUGACUUGUGGCUGGGGGUGAAAGGCCAAUCAAACCGGGAGAUAGCUGGUUCUCCCCGAAAGCUAUUUAGGUAGCGCCUCGUGAAUUCAUCUCCGGGGGUAGAGCACUGUUUCGGCAAGGGGGUCAUCCCGACUUACCAACCCGAUGCAAACUGCGAAUACCGGAGAAUGUUAUCACGGGAGACACACGGCGGGUGCUAACGUCCGUCGUGAAGAGGGAAACAACCCAGACCGCCAGCUAAGGUCCCAAAGUCAUGGUUAAGUGGGAAACGAUGUGGGAAGGCCCAGACAGCCAGGAUGUUGGCUUAGAAGCAGCCAUCAUUUAAAGAAAGCGUAAUAGCUCACUGGUCGAGUCGGCCUGCGCGGAAGAUGUAACGGGGCUAAACCAUGCACCGAAGCUGCGGCAGCGACGCUUAUGCGUUGUUGGGUAGGGGAGCGUUCUGUAAGCCUGCGAAGGUGUGCUGUGAGGCAUGCUGGAGGUAUCAGAAGUGCGAAUGCUGACAUAAGUAACGAUAAAGCGGGUGAAAAGCCCGCUCGCCGGAAGACCAAGGGUUCCUGUCCAACGUUAAUCGGGGCAGGGUGAGUCGACCCCUAAGGCGAGGCCGAAAGGCGUAGUCGAUGGGAAACAGGUUAAUAUUCCUGUACUUGGUGUUACUGCGAAGGGGGGACGGAGAAGGCUAUGUUGGCCGGGCGACGGUUGUCCCGGUUUAAGCGUGUAGGCUGGUUUUCCAGGCAAAUCCGGAAAAUCAAGGCUGAGGCGUGAUGACGAGGCACUACGGUGCUGAAGCAACAAAUGCCCUGCUUCCAGGAAAAGCCUCUAAGCAUCAGGUAACAUCAAAUCGUACCCCAAACCGACACAGGUGGUCAGGUAGAGAAUACCAAGGCGCUUGAGAGAACUCGGGUGAAGGAACUAGGCAAAAUGGUGCCGUAACUUCGGGAGAAGGCACGCUGAUAUGUAGGUGAAGUUAAUGAUGGCCAGGCUGUCUCCACCCGAGACUCAGUGAAAUUGAACUCGCUGUGAAGAUGCAGUGUACCCGCGGCAAGACGGAAAGACCCCGUGAACCUUUACUAUAGCUUGACACUGAACAUUGAGCCUUGAUGUGUAGGAUAGGUGGGAGGCUUUGAAGUGUGGACGCCAGUCUGCAUGGAGCCGGGGAUAACAGGCUGAUACCGCCCAAGAGUUCAUAUCGACGGCGGUGUUUGGCACCUCGAUGUCGGCUCAUCACAUCCUGGGGCUGAAGUAGGUCCCAAGGGUAUGGCUGUUCGCCAUUUAAAGUGGUACGCGAGCUGGGUUUAGAACGUCGUGAGACAGUUCGGUCCCUAUCUGCCGUGGGCGCUGGAGAACUGAGGGGGGCUGCUCCUAGUACGAGAGGACCGGAGUGGACGCAUCACUGGUGUUCGGGUUGUCAUGCCAAUGGCACUGCCCGGUAGCUAAAUGCGGAAGAGAUAAGUGCUGAAAGCAUCUAAGCACGAAACUUGCCCCGAGAUGAGUUCUCCCUGAC
rnacentral:rRNA from 1 species